AUACGGAGGGUGCAAGCGUUAAUCGGAAUUACUGGGCGUUAAGGGUGUGUAGACGGAGUAUUAAGUUUGUUGUUAAAUCUUUCGGCCUAACCGAAAGCUUGCAAUGAAAACUAAUAGUCUUGAGGGUGAAAGAGAGAAGUGGAAUUCUCGGAGUAGCGGUAAAAUGCGUAGAUCUCGAGAGGAACACCGAUGGCGAAGGCAGCUUCUUGGUUCACUUCUGACGUUGAGACACGAAAGCGUGGGUAGCAAACAGGAUUAGAAACCCCAGUAGUCC
rnacentral:rRNA from 1 species